GUUGUACCUCAGUGGUAGAGCACUUUGCUACCAUAUGUGAGGUCCUGGGUUCAAUCCCCAGUACCACA
rnacentral:tRNA from 1 species